CGGGAUGUAGCGCAGCCCGGUAGCGCGUUCGUCUGGGGGGCGAGAGGUCGCAGGUUCGAAUCCUGUCAUCCCGACCA
rnacentral:tRNA from 1 species